UACGUAGGGGGCAAGCGUUGUCCGGAUUUAUUGGGCGUAAAGAGCGUGUAGGCGGCCAGAUAGGUCUGUUGUGAAAACUCGAGGCUCAACCUCGAGACGCCGAUGGAAACCAUCUGGCUAGAGUCCGGAAGAGGAGAGUGGAAUUCCUGGUGUAGCGGUGAAAUGCGCAGAUAUCAGGAAGAACACCCGUGGCUAAGGCGGCUCUCUGGGACGGUACUGACGCUGAGACGCGAAAGCGUGGGGAGCAAACAGG
rnacentral:rRNA from 1 species